CCACUAACCAAACACUGCCAUGAAGACCAAGGAACUCUUCAAACAAGUUAGGGACAAUGUGCAGCAGCUGUCCGGAUAGCUGGUCUCAGACGAUAUUGGAGGUGAAGAUGCUGGAUGUGGAGGUUCUGGGCUGCUGUGGUUACACGUGGUUUGCUUUUGUUAGGGCGGUUGGAUGUACUGCCAAAUUCUCUGAAAUGCCUUUGG